AGAGUUUGAUCCUGGCUCAGGAUGAACGCUGGCGGCGUGCCUAAUACAUGCAAGUCGAGCGAACGGACGAGAAGCUUGCUUCUCUGAUGUUAGCGGCGGACGGGUGAGUAACACGUGGAUAACCUACCUAUAAGACUGGGAUAACUUCGGGAAACCGGAGCUAAUACCGGAUAAUAUUUUGAACCGCAUGGUUCAAAAGUGAAAGACGGUCUUGCUGUCACUUAUAGAUGGAUCCGCGCUGCAUUAGCUAGUUGGUAAGGUAACGGCUUACCAAGGCAACGAUGCAUAGCCGACCUGAGAGGGUGAUCGGCCACACUGGAACUGAGACACGGUCCAGACUCCUACGGGAGGCAGCAGUAGGGAAUCUUCCGCAAUGGGCGAAAGCCUGACGGAGCAACGCCGCGUGAGUGAUGAAGGUCUUCGGAUCGUAAAACUCUGUUAUUAGGGAAGAACAUAUGUGUAAGUAACUGUGCACAUCUUGACGGUACCUAAUCAGAAAGCCACGGCUAACUACGUGCCAGCAGCCGCGGUAAUACGUAGGUGGCAAGCGUUAUCCGGAAUUAUUGGGCGUAAAGCGCGCGUAGGCGGUUUUUUAAGUCUGAUGUGAAAGCCCACGGCUCAACCGUGGAGGGUCAUUGGAAACUGGAAAACUUGAGUGCAGAAGAGGAAAGUGGAAUUCCAUGUGUAGCGGUGAAAUGCGCAGAGAUAUGGAGGAACACCAGUGGCGAAGGCGACUUUCUGGUCUGUAACUGACGCUGAUGUGCGAAAGCGUGGGGAUCAAACAGGAUUAGAUACCCUGGUAGUCCACGCCGUAAACGAUGAGUGCUAAGUGUUAGGGGGUUUCCGCCCCUUAGUGCUGCAGCUAACGCAUUAAGCACUCCGCCUGGGGAGUACGACCGCAAGGUUGAAACUCAAAGGAAUUGACGGGGACCCGCACAAGCGGUGGAGCAUGUGGUUUAAUUCGAAGCAACGCGAAGAACCUUACCAAAUCUUGACAUCCUUUGACAACUCUAGAGAUAGAGCCUUCCCCUUCGGGGGACAAAGUGACAGGUGGUGCAUGGUUGUCGUCAGCUCGUGUCGUGAGAUGUUGGGUUAAGUCCCGCAACGAGCGCAACCCUUAAGCUUAGUUGCCAUCAUUAAGUUGGGCACUCUAAGUUGACUGCCGGUGACAAACCGGAGGAAGGUGGGGAUGACGUCAAAUCAUCAUGCCCCUUAUGAUUUGGGCUACACACGUGCUACAAUGGACAAUACAAAGGGCAGCGAAACCGCGAGGUCAAGCAAAUCCCAUAAAGUUGUUCUCAGUUCGGAUUGUAGUCUGCAACUCGACUACAUAAAGCUGGAAUCGCUAGUAAUCGUAGAUCAGCAUGCUACGGUGAAUACGUUCCCGGGUCUUGUACACACCGCCCGUCACACCACGAGAGUUUGUAACACCCGAAGCCGGUGGAGUAACCUUUUAGGAGCUAGCCGUCGAAGGUGGGACAAAUGAUUGGGGUGAAGUCGUAACAAGGUAGCCGUAUCGGAAGGUGCGGCUGGAUCACCU
rnacentral:rRNA from 1 species